UACGUAGGGUGCAAGCGUUAAUCGGAAUUACUGGGCGUAAAGCGUGCGCAGGCGGCUAUGCAAGACAGAUGUGAAAGCCCCGGGCUUAACCUGGGAAUGGCCGUUGAAACUGGCGAACUGGAGUGUGGCAGAGGGGGGUGGAAUUCCGCGUGUAGCAGUGAAAUGCGUAGAGAUGCGGAGGAACACCGAUGGCGAAGGCAGCCCCCUGGGCUAACACUGACGCUCAGGCACGAAAGCGUGGGGAGCAAACAGG
rnacentral:rRNA from 1 species